GAUAUAAAUAUUCUGACUGGAGUUGAAGGCAUCAGUCUGUCGACGGCAAACUAAAGACAAUGAAGUUCUACGUUGUGUUCGUGCUCUUUGCUUUUCUGGCUGUGACCAAAGCAGCACCAGUAGAAGAUUUGGUUACAGUGGAGGCUGUUACUGAUGAUGAUCCCUCACCUGCAAAAUUUCUAAUUGAAGACCCACUUUAAAU